rnacentral:snRNA from 1 species
UUUUGUAAAAUAGCAUGUAAUAC